rnacentral:rRNA from 1 species
GUAGGGUGCGAGCGUUAAUCGGAAUUACUGGGCGUAAAGCGUGCGCAGGCGGUUCGUUGUGUCGGCGGUGAAAGCCCCGGGCUCAACCUGGGAAUGGCCGUUGAAACUGGCGAACUGGAGUGUGGCAGAGGGGGGUGGAAUUCCGCGUGUAGCAGUGAAAUGCGUAGAGAUGCGGAGGAACACCGAUGGCGAAGGCAGCCCCCUGGGCUAACACUGACGCUCAGGCACGAAAGCGUGGGGAGCAAACAGGAUUAGAUACCCUGGUAGUCCACGCCCUAAACGAUGUCGACUGGGUGUUGGGGAAGCGAUUUCCCAGUACCGUAGCUAACGCGUGAAGUCGACCGCCUGGGGAGUACGGCCGCAAGGUUA